rnacentral:rRNA from 1 species
AUUGAACGCUGGCGGCAGGCCUAACACAUGCAAGUCGAACGAGCGGCGGACGGGUGAGUAAUGUCUGGGGAACUGCCCGAUGGAGGGGGAUAACUACUGGAAACGGUAGCUAAUACCGCAUACCAUCGGAUGUGCCCAGAUGGGAUUAGCUAGUAGGUGGGGUAAAGGCUCACCUAGGCGACGAUCCCUAGCUGGUCUGAGAGGAUGACCAGCCACACUGGAACUGAGACACGGCCCAGACUCCUACGGGAGGCAGCAGUGGGGAAUAUUGCACAAUGGGCGCAAGCCUGAUGCAGCCAUGCCGCGUGUAUGAAGAAGGCCUUCGGGUUGUAAAGUACUUUCAGCGGGGAGGCGUUACCCGCAGAAGAAGCACCGGCUAACUCCGUGCCAGCAGCCGCGGUAAUAC